CCUACGGGCGGCAGCAGUAGGGAAUAUUGCUCAAUGGGGGAAACCCUGAAGCAGCAACGCCGCGUGGAGGAUGAAGGUUUUCGGAUUGUAAACCCCCUUUGGUAGAGAAGAUAAUGACGGUAUCUAACGAAUAAGCACCGGCUAACUCCGGGCCAGCAGCCGCGGUAAUACGGCGGGUGCAAGCGUUAAUCGGAAUCACUGGGCGUAAAGGGCGCGUAGGCGGGGUAGCAAGUCAGAUGGUAAAACCUAUGGCUUAACCAUAGAACUGCAUUUGAAACUGGUAGUCUAGAGUAUGAGAGAGGUAGGUGGAAUUCUUGGUGUAGGGGUGAAAUCCAUAGAGAUCAAGAGGAAUACUCAUUGCGAAGGCAACCUGCUGGAGCAUAACUGACGCUGAUGCGCGAAGGCGUGGGUAGCAAACAGGAUUAGAUACCCCUGUAGUC
rnacentral:rRNA from 1 species